rnacentral:rRNA from 1 species
CGCCUGCCCCGUGACAAAAGUUUAACGGCCGCGGUAUUUUGACCGUGCAAAGGUAGCGCAAUCACUUGUCUUUUAAAUGAAGACCUGUAUGAAUGGCAUAACGAGGGCUUAACUGUCUCCUUUCCCCAAUCAAUGAAAUUGAUCUCCCCGUGCAGAAGCGGGGAUAUGCUCAUAAGACGAGAAGACCCUAUGGAGCUUUAGAUACCAAGACAGAUCUUGUUAAACACCUCAAAAUAACGAAAAAAACUAAAAGAAUCCUGCCCUAAUAUCUUUGGUUGGGGCGACCGCGGGGAAACAAAUAACCCCCAUGUGGACUGAGAAAACAAUUCUCACAAUCAAGAGCCACAGCUCUAGCUAGCAGAACUUCUGACCUUUAAGAUCCGGCAAUGCCGAUCAACGAACCGAGUUACCCUAGGGAUAACAGCGCAAUCCUUUUUUAGAGUUCAUAUCGACAAAAGGGUUUACGACCUCGAUGUUGGAUCAGGACAUCCUAAUGGUGCAGCCGCUAUUAAGGGUUCGUUUGUUCAACGAUUAAAGUCCU